UACGGGGGGUGCAAGCGUUACUCGGAAUCAUUGGGCGUAAAGGGCGCGUAGGCGGCCUGAUCAGUCAGAUGUGAAAGCCCGGGGCUCAACCCCGGAAGAGCAUUUGAUACUGUCAGGCUUGAGUAUGGGAGAGGAAAGUGGAAUUCCUGGUGUAGAGGUGAAAUUCGUAGAUAUCAGGAGGAACACCGGUGGCGAAGGCGACUUUCUGGACCAAUACUGACGCUGAGGCGCGAAGGCGUGGGGAGCAAACAGG
rnacentral:rRNA from 1 species